rnacentral:sRNA from 13 species
CGAACAAAGAGAAUUUCCCAAAUACCGCUUAAAAAAGGUGUAGCUGGGAUAUACCGACAAUCCAUACCAGAAAUAUCCCGCCAGGGUCGCUUCGGCUCCC